GUGUGCAUUGGUGAUGCAGCUGUAUUUGAGUCCUUUCUGCUCCUCUUUAAAGUAUGACGCAUUCGAAGAAAGGAUUCUGUACUUGGAAUUUGGACAAACUGAGUUAUGGUUGAUUCAGAGUAGAGGCAGGUGUAGUAGCCACGCUCUACCAGUUGGAGACACUGGCGACAGGAGGAAUCCAGUGAACAGGAAGAACGUCUGGAGUCAUCCUGUAUCUUCGCUGUCCCUGUAGAUCUAAACAGACGGAUGCUGGGUACCCUUCCUCCCUAGAAACCCAGCAGUCAGCUGGAAAGAACCGGAACGCUGACAUUUGUGAAUGAGCACACAGCCUUCUCUCAUUGAUCAUUUCUCUCCGAGCAUCCUCUGAGAGCUAUACAUAUACAAUUCUCAGGGCAAAAAUCUUUUCUCUGACAAUGAACAAUCUGUAGUUAUAUCCUGGAUAAGCCCAGCUAGACUCAAAAAUUGGUUACAUGUCAGAUAAGAGCUUGGAGGGCAACUUGGAAUUUCUCAGGGAUGUAAAAUAUCCCUUAGAUGUAGACCAAAACAAAACAAGCAGGAGAAAACCAAUCCAUUAAUCUGCCUGCUUGUCAUCAGAAAAGCAACCUUUGAAAGUCUACAAUAUUUUGAUUUUUCAAAUAGUAAAUCAAGAACAGAAGUCCUUGAAAUAGUCAGCUUAGAGAUUUGUGUGUUAUUAACCUGGGGGUAGGC
rnacentral:lncRNA from 1 species